rnacentral:rRNA from 1 species
ACGAACGCUGGCGGCGUGCUUAACACCUGCAAGUCGAACGGAAAGGCCCUGCUUUUGUGGGGUGCUCGAGUGGCGAACGGGUGAGUAACACGUGAGUAACCUGCCCUUGACUUUGGGAUAACUUCAGGAAACUGGGGCUAAUACCGGAUAGGAGCUCCUGCUGCAUGGUGGGGGUUGGAAAGUUUCGGCGGUUGGGGAUGGACUCGCGGCUUAUCAGCUUGUUGGCGGGGUAGUGGCUUACCAAGGCUUUGACGGGUAGCCGGCCUGAGAGGGUGACCGGCCACAUUGGGACUGAGAUACGGCCCAGACUCCUACGGGAGGCAGCAGUGGGGAAUAUUGCACAAUGGGCGGAAGCCUGAUGCAGCAACGCCGCGUGCGGGAUGACGGCCUUCGGGUUGUAAACCGCUUUCGCCUGUGACGAAGCGUGAGUGACGGUAAUGGGUAAAGAAGCACCGGCUAACUACGUG